rnacentral:lncRNA from 1 species
AUGGACCGGGCGGGGAGCCUCCAGGGUCCUCCAGCGCCCCGCUGGGCUUUCGAGGAACCCUGGGGCGGGUCCGGAUCGCUGCGCAGAGGCGAGGCAGGGCGGAGGGGAAGGGAGGGUACUGGGUUCCGGGAAGCAGCGCGGUGGGGGCGACCAGGGCCGGACCAGUGCAGCAUCCCCUGGACAGCUGUCAGCCCCCGGGACAGCGGGGGGCGGCGCCCUCGCGCACACACGCGGGCACAAAGACUCGCGCGCCCACGCUCCACCCUGCGGCUCCAGGAGGCGCCUCUGCCCGGACUGCACGCACACACACACUCCACCUGCAUACUCCCCGGCCUCUCGGGCACACCGGACGCUCAGGGCCGUGCGCGCCGGGCCAAGGCCCCCAGAGGCCCACACACUUGUGUGCACACACUCACAUACACACAUACCCAGACCGCGGGGCCACCGCGCAGCGCCCACUGCCCAGACACCGCACCCCCGCCACUCGCUCCCACGACCUCCCCGCGUCUUCACGCCGACGCCUCGGAGCGUGACGGGCGGCGGCUGGAUGCUCGGCCGCAGAACUCCCAGAGGCGCCCACGAACGGGGAGGUGGGCGCCUCUGCCGGCCGGUCGCCCCCUGCGCGCCCCAGCCCCGGAGCCCGGCCGGCGCCCUUCGCCGCCCCGCACUCCCUCUCCGCGCCAGCGCGCCCGCCCUCUCCGCCCCACACUCACUGUCUGCCCCGCUGCGGCUGCGGCUGCGGCCCGGGCUCCGGCGCGGCCUCGCCGGUGCCUGCCGGCUGGGCCGCGGAGGCGGCGGCAGCGGCAGGGGCGGAGCGGGCGGCCGCCGGUGCUGGGACCCCCUCCCGCCGCCAGAAGCCCCCCUCCUCCCGCAUUUAACCCCUCCAGCGCCGCGCUUCCCUCUGCUGUGCCUCGCCCUCGCCUCCGGCGCAGCUCUCCGCAGACCCUUACCUGCGGCUGCCCAGCCCCCCAGUCCUGGCCGGUCCCAGGAGAUGAGUGGCAGAGGAGCCCCGGAGGGGUCGCCGUUGGGUCAGGCCUGGAGUCUCAGACCGGGGCCCUGGUUCUGCCCUGUUGGCCAGCCAGCGUGGCCAGCGGCACGGCCCCAACUUGGACAUCAGCCGGCUCACCUCUUCGGACAGGCUCCACUCUAAUCUCCCAGCAUCUUCCAGGCCCACUACCAGGUGGGAAGGGCCCUCAGCUCCCCGCCCCGAGGGACAGCCUGGCCCUUGGGCUCUGCACUCAUGAGGGAGGAGACCCCAGGGGACAAAGGGGUGGGGGAUCCCCUGAGGCAACCUGGAAUUGGCCGAGGUAG